rnacentral:rRNA from 1 species
AACAAACGCUGGCGGCGUGCCUAAUACAUGCAAGUCGAACGAGGUAGCAAUACCUAGUGGCGCACGGGUGAGUAACGCGUGGACAAUCUGCCUUUGAGUGGGGGAUAACUAGUCGAAAGAUUAGCUAAUACCGCAUAAGACCACAGGAACUGAGGUUCUAGGGGUUAAAGGUUCUUCGCUCAUAGAUGAGUCCGCGUGAGAUUAGCUAGUUGGUGAGGUAACGGCUCACCAAGGCGACGAUCUCUAACUGGUCUGAGAGGAUGAUCAGUCACACUGGAACUGAGACACGGUCCAGACUACUACGGGAGGCAGCAGUAGGGAAUAUUGCACAAUGGAGGAAACUCUGAUGCAGCGACGCCGCGUGAGUGAUGAAGGCUUUCGGGUCGUAAAGCUCUGUCGCAGGGGAAUAACACAAUGAAUGUACCCUGUAAGAAAGGAUCGGCUAACUUCGUGCCAGCCGCCGCGGUAA